rnacentral:rRNA from 1 species
GUGGGGAAUAUUGGGCAAUGGGCGCAAGCCUGACCCAGCAACGCCGCGUGAGGGAAGAAGGUUUUCGGAUUGUAAACCUCUGUCGCAAGGGACGAAGAAGUGACGGUACCUUGUGAGGAAGCCCCGGCUAACUACGUGCCAGCAGCCGCGGUAAUACGUAGGGGGCGAGCGUUGUCCGGAAUUACUGGGCGUAAAGGGUGCGUAGGCGGUUGCUUAAGUUGGGUGUGAAAUACCCGGGCUUAACUUGGGGGGUGCAUUCAAAACUGGGCAACUAGAGUUCAGGAGAGGGAAGCGGAAUUCCUAGUGUAGCGGUGAAAUGCGUAGAUAUUAGGAGGAACACCAGUGGCGAAGGCGGCUUUCUGGACUGACACUGACGCUGAGGCACGAAAGCGUGGGGAGCAAACAGGAUUAGAAACCCGGGUAGUCC